rnacentral:miRNA from 1 species
UUGAUAUUGUCCGGGUAUCGGUCU